rnacentral:misc_RNA from 1 species
ACAUGAUCACCCUGCACUGCAGCAAUACGUUUCUUUCUACUAAAACCCUAAAUUCAUCAUUUGAUCUCUCUUUCUAUUGUGUCACUGCUUUGCCCUAGCUAACUGCUGACAUUUUCUGGAUAUCUAUAAUAUUCUUUCAAUUAAGCCAUAACCCUUUUCUUGCCUUGUUCUAACAUGAAGACCAAUUGUAGAGUCCAAAAACACAUGCAUCUUCGAUCCCCUUGAAGUUGAUCAUUCCAUCUUCAACCUACAAACAAUGCAUUUAUUGACAUAGAGAUGGUGGAUAGGUACGUAUAUAUAUAGUUAUUUGACAAUAUAUAUAAAUUAAUACUCGUUACUGUAUUUCUGCCAACAUAACAACAUAAUAAUGCACCUUCUCAUUAUGUAUAACCUAGACCUUCGCUCCUUUGCUUUAAACAGCCAUCUUUUUCUGAUGUUUGAACGCUUUCUACUAUAACCUUUUGUUGUUGAUGAUGAUGAAGAACAACACUCACUCAUAAUGGCCAAAAUUGAAAUUUUAUGAAUUCACAGCAG